rnacentral:rRNA from 1 species
AUGCCAUCGUCUCAGGUUCCGAAGUUUUCAUCUCUGCCCGAUGAGUUGAGGGAUGGCCGUGGUGUUGAGGGUGCUGUGUUGGAGCGCGCUGAGCAUAUCUUAAGUAAUGUGUGUUCUGAGCUACAAAAGGUCCCACCAACAGUUGAGCGUCUGAGCUGUAUCAAUGGUAUCCUUCCUGAUGGUCAUCAAUUUAAUGCUGAGGAAGCUGUUGACUACAUUGAGAUGGAGAGAAUUUUAAUCGGUGAUAUGCGUGAUGGUGCCGCUAAUCUAGUUCAGAGCUCGGUUCGUCUAUUGAACAACAUGAAGCGUUUUAGAACUACGCAAAACUCUCGCUGCAAGCCAUAUGAAGAAAGUGCAAGUGUUGUUAUCAAGCAGUUUGAGCGGGAUGAGGCUGCUGCCACCGACAGUAGGGCUGGUGAUGGUACUAAGGCUAAUGUUUCUGAUCACGAAACGAAUGAUCUUGGCUUGGAGCGUCCUGAUGUUGAUAUUGAUCAGGAUGAGGCUACUGGCACUGAUAGCAGGGCUGAUGAUGGUACUGAGGCUAAUGUUUCUGAUCCGCAUACGAAUGAUGUUGGCUUGCAGCACCCUAUUGUUGAUGAGGCUAGUCAUAAUGUUGAGGCUGCUGUUGACCGUGGAGUUAAUGAUCCAUCCAUUGAUAAGUGCAAGGGUCCUAUUGUUGGCGAUGAGCCUUGUUUGCCCGUUGGUGAUGUUGCUUUGAAUGUUAGCAGCAGCAAGAUCGAUGAUGUUGCUAUGAAUGCUUCCAAGAUUACUGAUGUUGAGCGUGAGGUUGUCCUUAGUGGUGGAGAUGAUGCUCGUGGUGUUCCAUUGAGUAGUGGGCGCAAUGUUGGUAACAAAGUUGCUAAUGAGGAUGCUAGCGCUGCCAGCAUACUUGAUGCCAAAUCGCCUGGUGUUGGUAUUGCUGGGAAUGAAAAUGUUCCUGAUUGUGAAGAUUUGUCGCCGGAGAAUUUCCCGCCUGGAGGUCUUGAUUAUGGUGAUGCAUUGCAAGAUGCUUCUAGCAUGGAGGAGGUGCCAUCUGAGGAUGAUGAUUUACUUCUGUCAAUUUCUUUUGACCCCUCGACGCAGGAGGCGCUCUUGUCGUCCCAGGAUUUUCUUUCUACAGACCUUGAAAGCGCAACAAUAUUGGUGUCCUCUCAAGAUGUCCCAUCGUCAAACCCUAAAGCUGGAGGCAUAAUGGUCUCAUCACAGGAACUACCGUCGUCGUCAAACCUUGAUAGUCCAGAAAGUGGUAAUGUUGUUAAGGUUGAUACGUUUUUCUUCGCUGUUACGAGGUUGCGCACGAACCGUAUGAAAUGUCACAAGCUGAUGUUUCAAAAUAAAGAAUGUGAUGCCAGUGUUGGUUCUAUUGCUAAAGCGUUUGUCCCCACUGGCAUGCUCAACUCAGACAGUGCUGACGUUGUUUUAUAUUCUCUACGUCAGAAGUACCGAGACACUAACAAGUUGAUAGUUCCUAGAUGGACCAAGAUCCGUGAUGGAAAUAUUGAUUCCAUUGUGCUAAAUUGGUUCACGAGAUCAGGUCCUGAUGGUUUUAACCAAGAGGGUGAUGCAGUUAGAUUCUUAACGACUAUGACAAAUAAUAUAAAGAAGCUUUGGAUGGAGUCGAGUGUAGACAGGGCCAAACCGUUUUCGCCGGUGCAUAUUGAUGGUUUCUCUUGCGAGUUUGUGCGGGUGCCGCAGCAGGAAAACACGCAUGAUUGUAGAUUCUUUAUGCUACAAAACUGCAAGACCUAUCAUUGCCGGGAGGAUGGUGUAAUUGAAAUGUGGCUGGAUCUUGGUGAGAAUGACUAUAGGUUCUUUGGCAGCCAGUUCUCGGAGCUCGAGCGCGUAGCUAUUGAUCUUAGCCACGGGCGUUCUCCUGAAAAGACAAGAUCUGGUGUUAUGAAGGGGCGGUUGGGAGCUCUGAGAGGUAAUACGCCUGCUUGUGCAGAGAGCCCUACUACACCCAAGAACCCCAUUGUGGAAUUGAUAGACAGCGAUGAUGAUGUGUUUGACAAGAUUGCUGGCGUUGGAAGAGUCACGAGGAGCGUUGCUGCCAAAGGUUUAUCUCCCCUUGCUGGAAUAGUGGCUCGUAGAGCUGGUGGUGCUAGGAAAGAUCCUCCUUUGGAUUCUGGCAAUGUUGUAAGCACGAAGCGUGCGCCCAGAGCUCCUAUAAAGGUUUGCUCCCCUGUGCAGCAGCUUCACCCUCAUAAAUUCCCUCACCUGGACAAGGCUCGCAUGUUGUAUAAUCUGUUGCUUAGUGAUGAAUGGAGUGAGAAGUAUGCCGAGAAUACAUUCUCAAUGAUACCUCAGCCCGAUGAAAGCGUAACUAGCUUCACUGGGAAUCGCAUCUGGGAAGUUUUUUCACCUGGGCAAAUGAUGGAGGGUGAUGUUGUGCUUGACUGUUCAUUUUACGGUGAUGAAAAUAAAGUGUUUAAUGUGGAGAGUGCAACGAGAGAUUUCAAGAGCUAUGUUAAAGAUAAGGAAGACUUGCUUAGUGCCGACCUAAUCAUGAUUCCUCUAUUCAAGCCUAUGUUUUUAGCAAAGGAUAAGAAAUUGAACCACUAUUUGUUAUAUGUCAUGAAUCGGUACCGAAGUAGCGUUGACAUCCUUGACUCUUUACCUUAUCCAAAGAACCGCCGUCCUUCAAAGAACACCUAUCAUAAAGACUGCGAGAAGAUUAUUUCUAGAUUGGUCCAAGUAAUGAAGGCUGUGUAUGGUGAUGCUCAGUACAAUGCGAGCAAGCACCCCAAUUGGGACCUGCUUGCAAAGAAACCAACGUUAGUCAAGGUUCCACUUCAAGGGCCAAAUGAAUGUGGCCAUUAUACUCUGAAUUCUGCGGGAUCCUAUGAUGGUGAAAAGAUCGUUGAGAACAUUUUAGAUAAUGAUCCACACAUUGUUGACUGGAACGCUGAGGAUCUGUAUAGAGUUGUGUUCAACCGGAAUAGCCAGCUUGUGGUUACGGAGCUUCCCAAGGAGGUUCAGGCUUUGGCUCCUGAUGCAUAG